rnacentral:rRNA from 1 species
UACGUAGGGACCAAGCGUUGUUCGGAUUUACUGGGCGUAAAGGGCGCGUAGGCGGCGCGGUAAGUCACUUGUGAAAUCUCUGAGCUUAACUCAGAACGGCCAAGUGAUACUGCAGUGCUAGAGUGUGGAAGGGGCAAUCGGAAUUCUUGGUGUAGCGGUGAAAUGCGUAGAUAUCAAGAGGAACACCUGAGGUGAAGACGGGUUGCUGGGCCAACACUGACGAUGAGGCGCGAAAGCCAGGGGAGCAAACGGG